rnacentral:rRNA from 1 species
CCUACGGGAGGCAGCAGUAGGGAAUCUUUCACAAUGGGCGAAAGCCUGAUGGAGCAACGCCGCGUGCAGGAUGAAGGCCCUCGGGUUGUAAACUGCUUUUAUAAGCGAGAAAUAUGAUGGUAACUUAUGAAUAAGGAUCGGCUAACUACGUGCCAGCAGCCGCGGUCAUACGUAGGAUCCGAGCAUUAUCCGGAGUGACUGGGUGUAAAGAGUUGCGUAGGUGGCAUAAUAAGUAGCUAGUGAAAUCUGGUGGCUCAACCAUUCAGACUAUUAGCUAAACUGUUAAGCUCGAGACCGUUAGGGGUAACUGGAAUUUCUAGUGUAGGAGUGAAAUCCGUAGAUAUUAGAAGGAACACCAAUAGCGUAGGCAGGUUGCUGAGACGGUUCUGACACUAAGGCACGAAAGCGUAGGGAGCAAACGGGAUUAGAUACCCGAGUAGUC